rnacentral:lncRNA from 1 species
AGGUAAGGAGAAGUAUUUCUGUCAUUUAUCCUGGUUGAGCUUAUUGUCAAAGGGGAACCAAUAAAAGCAAAGUAAGGCCCUUUGACAUGUGAGCCAACUGAGGGGGAAGCUUAUAUUUUAAUAAGUGUGGCUUUUGUUGAUUCCUUUAUGAAUCCAUGAACACAUUGGAAUAUCCUUGAUAAUGUGCAUUUUAAAAUUUUUGAGGCGGGCUCACUUGAUUUCAAAUCUCUGAUUUGUUGAGUAAAAUGAAAAUCCGUGGAUAUUUUCUAGUUAAUAAUAAUCCUUAUUUGAAACAGAGCUAGUCAUGCAUGGCUAUGUUUGCUGUAGGAUGAAGCCUCUCUUGGUUCCUUGAAGGAUCUCAUCUCCACUCAGUUGGCCUUAUUAAUCACCAUGUGUUAUAAAGAAUUUCUUUAUUUUGCUUGUUCUGUGUUUUUUUUUUCUUAUGGCUAUAACAGUAGUCUGUUAAUAUGUGUAUUUUUGCACAUGGGCAUAAAAGUCUGAGGGUUUAUGUUUGAGUGAUGUGGUGUGCAUUUGGAAACUUCUAUUAUUUCUAAGACUGAGCAAAAAUUUAGAAUGCUUGAAGGAUAGAGAGUGAGAUAAAAGGAUUUGCUCUGACUUCUGGGCACUAAAAAACUGUCACAAGACAAGAGUCCUGUGAAUGGCUGCCUUCUGGGUUUUAUGAGGCUGAUGUCUUAGGAACAUUUGGAGAUGUUUCUCCCCUAGAACUAACCUAGACCUUCUGUCCCCAGCAGUCCUUCAGUGUCAGUAUCACCUGAUGAGAUAGGUUCCCUUCCUCACAUUUCCUGGAGAGCUGUGUCUCUUUUGGAAACCUCUCUUGUAACCCAGAAAGUCUCCAGCACCUUCCUUUCCCUACCUCUCUCCCAUAGCAGCUUCCUGAGGUCACGUUCCUUUUGCUUGGCAGAGAAUUUUCUUACCCCCAGAAGCAGACAAAAAGGUGCAAAGGAGUUUUCUAUAAUUCAUUCCUUGUCUGGGAAUUCAAGUUGAAGCUCACCAACUUUUAGGACACUCCCAGGUUUCUCUCCCCACCUGAGUGGGACCUUCUCAGGGGUCCAUUCAACUCUGAUAAAACUCCAUGUGCCUUGGGACUUCUGUUUACUGUGGGGUUCCUCUUCCAUGAAACUGACUAGGUAAUACAGAUCAGUCUAGAAGCUGUGGAAUAUUCAGAAUGUUGAUUUCUCUAACUGACAUGGAUUUGGGGGUGAAUGUGAGAACACUGAUAAUUUCUUGGGAAUAUUUUCCCUGCCCUCAGGGAAUGGUCAGUCCUGUGAGGAAGACCAAUGUGUUCAAUGAACCCAAAUCUGCAUGGUACAUGUGAAGACAGUAAAGUCUAAUGCAUAAGCUCAGUGGAAUAUAAGGCUGAUAUUGGGACUCUGUGUGAAAGAUUUCUUCUGCUAAAAGGUAUAAUUUUGCAAUAUGAAUAGGAACCAUAGACGCCCUCCGUGCUACACUGAUGACAGUUAAAACUCCAUCUUGCCAAUAAGCCUGCUAAUUACCAAAGUUCACAGACUAAUUCUAGUUAUAUAUUUCCAAUGAUAUUUUAGAAAAACUUGAACCUAAAAUCUUCCCUUUUUUGUGAGCUGAACUCUUGAAGAUUCGUAAGAUCUGUGAAGUAAGGAAAAAUAAUAAUAUAUUCAUUAACUAUAAAGUUAACCUAUUAAUGCUCUAAGUCUUACACAAAAUUUCUUCAUUUUUCUGGCAAGACACUGUCAUUGAUACAAAGGAAUAGUAAACAGUGCAAUAAAAUCAUCAUUUUAUCUCAAAGAACAACUUAUCUUACUAGCAUAUGGCAGCAGGUGGGAGAAACAUAGAUUUGAGAACAGAUGGACCCCUGUUGGGAUCCUCACUCUUUGACCGCACAUGACCCCUGCAAGCCCUUGCUGUCUUCUCUGCAGAACUGCAGAAACAUGGCCCACCCCACAAGACUUAAGACUCCUAAUGGUACACGUGUAGUACUUGGGCCAUUGCAAACUGAGUGAUUCAGUUGUUUCCUUUACAAAGAAAUUCUUGAAUAGGCGUGUACAUGGGUGUGUAUGAGGAUGUUCAUCACAGCACUCUUUGUGAUGGUGUAAAGCAAGAGGCCAUUUAGGUGUCUGUGCCUGGGAGUGGACAGACAGAAAUGGGCAGGAAGCACAGGAAGGCAGUAGUCAGCAGUCACAAAUUAUGUUCCCAGAGUCACAUGGACGCAUCUUAAAACAUAGUACUAAGUGAAAAACCAUUUCACAGAAGCUCAUUUAUGAGAAUUAAAAGGGAAUAAAUUAAGAAAAUUGCUAUUUUUUAAGAACACAUAUAAUAAAAGGAUAUGAUUUAAACAAAAGCAAUGUCUAUGGGGUGGAGGGGAAGGAGAAUGAAGUAGGCCCAAGGCAAUAAUCUAAGGAGAGAAUGGCCUUUGUAGUUCAAUGAUGGCUUGUGACAGAAGAAAGGAGUGAGAUUACUAGAGCCUUCUGCACUUGCAGUUAUAAAAAAUAUAGACAGCAGACAGACAGACUAAUAAAAGUGCUGGACAUACCCUAGAAUGUGUAUGUCCAGCAGUACAGUAGUGUAUUCCAAAGUCUAGUACUAUAUUCCAAAGCUUUUUCUUAGGUAAUAACAGGGCUUCAAUGACAUGUGUGGACAAGCUCUUUUACAGUAAUGCUAUGACAUAAAUUUAAGAAAAAUAAGUGUACAUUUACUUGUGUAUUUGCACUUGCCUUCAAGAACAUGAUUCUACUAGCUAACUCCAUUUAUUGUGAUGCAGAAUAUAGUAUGAAGAGUGUCCAGCUUCGACAGUCUUCAUUAUUGGGUGAACAUUCAUUACCAAAAUCACUGAACAAAGUCAAGGACACUGAUAUCAUUAUGCACAUCACAGAGAACUAUAUUGAAAUUAAUUUGAAUGACAGAAUCCUGCUAAAAGAAUAGAAUUGCAUUUUAGUGAAAUAAGAUUAGCAAAGUCCUCUGUUAUACCUUUAAAACAAAACAAAAACAAAAACCCAAAACAUCAAGAGCAAAGAAAAGUAUAAUCCAGGUUUGGAUUAGAAUAACCGCUGGGCCCUAUUAUACUCUGCUUGGUAGUCUGACAACUGGAAUGUGCAAUAUCCGCUCCUUAAUGAUAAUUUUAGGGCAACUGGUUUUGAUUACAGGGAUGUGCGAGCAUCAUUUCUACCUUACACAUGCCAUGGGUCGUUAUUUUGGAAGUCCAAAAGUGACACACUGUUUUUGGGGCUCACUUUGUCUGACACUGGAUGCCCCUGCUCUCUUCUCCCUCCCCAGGUCUGAAGGCUGGGCUCUGUUAGCUGUUUUUGACAAUCAGGGCACUGCAGCACUGUUUUGGUAAGAAGCAUGCCACAAAUACCUGAAUCAGUGACAAGUUCACAUUCCAGAGAACACACCUCCCAUGAGCUCAGCUCAGAUUUGCACUGACCCAUGACAAGUUAGUACCUAGAAUAGACAUGCACAGGUGGGGACCAACACGGGUCAUUUGUCAUAACGUCCAAGGGAAUGUAGGCCUAGACUCAGGUUCUAUAAAAGAGGGCAAAGCUGUAACCUAGAAGGUCAAAGGUAAAAGAGUGAGAUAUUUUCAGGUUCCUGGGAGACUAAAUAAGAAAACAUGUAGCUGACCAGGAAAGCGUGAAUGUGGGGGAGGGCUCAUUGGCCUUAGUGAAAGGUACCUAAAGAAAUUCUUAAGAUGAGUUGGGAUGCUUCAGCUGCCAGUGCCAAGACACCCAACUAAAAUGGUUUAUUUAAAAACAAGGAAAAGCUUUCAUGUGACGUGACAAGAAGUCCCAAGGUCGGGCAGAGCCCAGGUUGCUCAUCAUCCUGGAUGAUGUGUCAUUGAGGACUCAAGGUUUUCCCAUCUUUUCUCUCUGAGAUGCUGGGCAUCCUCUUGGCUGGCUAUCUCAUGGUAGCAAAACAGCUGCCACAAUAGUAGUUGCAUGUACAUGACAUGACUCUGAAAAGAGGGCAAAAGCUGGUGGGUCUCCUGUGGGUCUCCUCUUAUCCGAGAGAGGCUUUCCCAGAAGCCCUCCAGCAACUGUUGCAAUAGUUUUUAUUGGCAAAAAAUUACAGCUCUUCUGAGUCCUAAACCAGUCACUGACCUGGGAGACAGAUGUCUCAGUUGGGUUAGGCCAACCAAGGCUUGCUCCUGGGGGCCGAGGAGGGUGGAGCCUUCUCUGCAGGUGUGACCUUACAGAAUCUGAAGGAAAGCAGGUUCUCAGCACAGAAGGAAAGUUUGAGGGGAGGGCUGAAGAGUGGACAAUCCACAUUUUUUUAAAGCUGUCUAGGGAAGAAUUUAAGGUAUUUAGAAAGAAGAAAUACCCAUCCAAGGAAGGGAGGAUGGGAGAGAAUUCCAGUGGUGGCCUGCGGAGCAAUUUGAGGGUGGGAGGUGGGGAGACUACUGAGAAGAGAACCCUAGGAAGUCAUUCAGAAGGUCAGAGAGGAAGGGGAGGGGAGGGAGCAUCCUGGACUGAACUUCUGGUCGGUCUGAACUUCUGCCUAGCUGCAUGGGGGCCCACCACACCAUGAGUUGUCUGGUCUCUCCUAAAUGGGGCUUGCUGAGCGCCCAAGGACUCGUCCUGCCUGCCUCCCGCCACCGUUUUGACUUCCCGUUUCAUGUUUUUGUAACAAAGCAUUUUCUUGGGUGUCUGAGUCUCUGUUCACACCUUUCCUUCUGUAAGGAGCUCUUUUCUGACAUGCACACACCUGGGUGAGUCUGAUUUCAUUCUUCAAGAGGCAGCGGGCACCUCGCCUGCUCCAGGUCUGUCCUACCUCUCAGGUUGCUCUGUGCCCCUGCCUCCUUCUCCCUCAGCAUCACUGCGUAGCAUCACAUUGACCAGACUGAAAUCCCCUCCUGUGCUUCUUUCACAGGUGCUUAUCCUGUGGCUGCUCUGUGGCCAGCAUUGGUCCAGGUGCUGGAAGAAAGCAUAAGGGCAGGGCUGUGGCUGUGGCUCAGGGGCAGGGUGCUUGCCUAGCAUGUGUGAGGCACUGGGCUCCAUCCUCAGCACCGCUUAAAAGUAAACAAAUAAAGGCAUUCUGUCCAUUUACAACUACAAAAGAAAAAAAAAGCAUAAGGGCAAAACCUAGCCCUUGCUCUAAUAAAAAUGACACCCUGGAGGAAGUGGGUCCAACAAUAAAUACAUACAGAGUCAGUCAGUCCAGUGACAUGUGACAUGUGCCAGAAGAAAAUGAACAUUGGGGCUCUGGUGGAGAGAUGGUGGCUGCCUUCUCAAACUGAAUGAAUGAUCAGGGAUUCUUAUUAAUGAGAACAUGUCACCCAGAAGGAAUGGAAGGAGGUGACAUGGCUCAUGCAGGGUGAACUGGUGGGAGAAUGGUAGGGAAUGAGGUCUGGGAGGGAGCUGGGGCCAGCCUGGAGAGCCUUGCUUACCAUGGUAACCAUUUUGGUUUCUUCCCUGAGAGCAGGGAAAACACAGGGCUUUUGAGUAGGGGAGAGCAUCUUUUAAAAAUAUCACUCUAGUUUCUGUAGAACAUACCAUGGAGAGGGUAAAGAGUGACGUAGGCAGCUGGGUGACUAUUUCAGUACUCCAGGAGAGAGUGGAAGGUACCUUUGACCAGGGUGGUAACUGAAGAGUGUGAGAAGUGGGCAGAGGGUGGAUAUUUUUGAAGCUGAAGAAACAGGAUAUUUUCAUAGAUGGACUGUGAAUGAGAAAACAUUUAAGGGUGAUUGUUGAGAGCCACAGCCAAAGGGGCCCCAGCAAACUUCCAGCUGAUUGGCUCACAGAGGCCCCAGCAAACUUCCAGCUGAUUGGCUCACCGUGGCCCCAGCAAACUUCCAGCUGCCAGCUGAUUGGCUCCUCUCCAGUGAUGCUCAUUGGGCUGUUUCCCGCCCUUUCAGACCACGGAGCUGUUCAUUGGGGGAUUCUUUUGGCUCCGCCCACGUGGCCCAGCCAAUCGGCCUCAAGAGCCGGAGGAGUGGGGCUUGAGAGGCUCCCCAGAAGCCGGUGGUGGCAGUUGGGAUCUGAGGGAACUCCUGAAGCGCUCCCGUGGUAUAGCGUGUGUUCUAAAAAUAAUGCCGUAGUCUGGCUGGGCACAAUUCACAAGCCACUUGUCAAGCAGAAAUGAACUUUAUUUUUAGAACACACGCUGUACCACGGGAGCGCUUCAGGAGUUCCCUCAGAUCCCAACUGCCACCACCGGCUUCUGGGGAGCCUCUCAAGCCCCACUCCUCCGGCUCUUGAGGCCGAUUGGCUGGGCCACGUGGGCGGAGCCAAAAGAAUCCCCCAAUGAACAGCUCCGUGGUCUGAAAGGGCGGGAAACAGCCCAAUGAGCAUCACUGGAGAGGAGCCAAUCAGCUGGCAGCUGGAAGUUUGCUGGGGCCACGGUGAGCCAAUCAGCUGGAAGUUUGCUAGGGCCCCUUCGGCUGUGGCUCUCAACAGGUGAUCUCAAGCUUUUUAGCCUGAACAAGUAGAGAAGUGAAGGUGCUAUUUACCAGAGGAGAGGCUGGGGAGGGGGUGUUCAUUUCCGCACCUUAGGUUUGAGAGACCUAUUAGCCACAGAGCAGAGAGUUUGAAUGUGUGGCUGGCUGGCUGGUCUGGAAUUCAGGGGCAGCAAAAAUGCAGGGACUCAGAGCAUAUCAACCUCAUGCAAGGCCCAGGGCUGGAUGAGGUCAACUUGGAUCUGAGCGUGAAUGCAGGAGAGGCCCAAGAUCUGAAGCCUGAUCCAUCAUGCAUGGAGGUUGAACGUGGAAGGAGGUCCUACAGAAGACAGAGGAGGCGGGGUGGGACCAGGAGAGAGGGUCAGCUGAAAGUCAGGGCCAGGAAGCACCAGGCUCCUGAACAACAAGACUUUCAGGGACAGAAAUGAUUCUUUUUUUUUUUUUUUUUUGAGAGAGAGAAUUUUAAUAUUUAUUUUUUUUUUAGUUAUCGGCGGACACAACAUCUUUGUUUGUGUGUGGUGCUGAGGAUCAAACCCGGGCCGCAUGCAUGCCAGGCAAGCAUGCUACCGCUUGAGCCACAUCCCCAGCCCCCAGAAAUGAUUCUUGAUCACUGUUAUUUCUGUAACUCCCUACAAUUAGCUCCAUUAAUCUUGGUGUAGUGAAUAGAAUAAACUCUUCCUUCCCAGCAUGCUCGGUUCCUAAGGUAACACAUGUACCAGGUCAUCUUUUCUAUCUCAGCAUUCCUCUUCAUUCCUCAAUUGCCACUAACAUGGUCGUGAGCCCAGGAUUGGGGCUCUGAUCACCUUCCUAUGGUGUGGCCCACUUUACAGUGUUGCCGCACUUUCUUGGAGGAGUACAGGAAGUGAGGUCUAUCAAGGAAAUAAAAACGUAUGACUAUCUCACAACGAAUCCCACUAUUAUGUGCAACUAUAAUGGACCAGUGAAAAUAUGUGCAGAGAAUUUUGCCUAACACUACAUUAUUAUCAGAUUAUUUGUGCAAGCAUGACUGAGACGGAGGCAUUCCCCUCCUAUGAGGCUGCAAAAUUGUCAGUCUAGUGGGACAAUAUCUUGUUUGGCUGAGUUUGUUUAGUUAAAGAAUUUUUCUGCACGAAUUCCAGGCUGAGGUGUUUCCUAAAGCGUGGAAAUCAAGCACAAAAGAAUCCAAUUCCCCAUGCUCUUUUGCUCCAGAACAAUCAUAGAUCAUUUUUUUUUUUUUUUGGUAAGAGUGAAAAGACUUAUUCAAGUGUGAAGAAUAGAAACAGAACUCUUGCAGGGACAAGUGGGGGCCAUGGAGGGAUUGCCCUACAGUUCAUUCUUCCAUGUUCACAAGAGAUGGUGAGAUAGUGUUGAACCGUUGGCUGGAGGAUAGUAGAUCUAUUCAUUAGAAUCUAAAACGAAGUGAAUUCCUCCUUGUAGCAUUUGCUACUUUUUCAGAGGCUGUGACAGGAUGUAUACGUUUUCCUGAAGCCGUGAGAUCAGACGCCUACAUUCAUGACACGUAUAACCUGAACUCCGGGUAUCAUCAAGUGAUGUUCUGAGAUUGUUUUCUCCUUCCUGUUCUCAGGCAGAGCUUGGUGUCAGAAUGGGCUCCCUCAGCACAGCAAACGUUGAAUUUUGUCUUGAUGUGUUCAAGGAGCUGAGCAGUAACAACGUAGGAGACAAUGUCUUCUUUUCUCCACUGAGUCUGCUCUCUGCGCUAAGCAUGCUCCUCCUUGGUGCCAGAGGGAACAGCGCAGACCAAAUAGAAAAGGUAAGGAACGCGUGGGCAGUUUCCCCUGAGCCUCGUACUGUCCACGUGUCCCCCCCCUCCCUGUCCCCUCUGCUCCACCAUAUGACUUCUAUCUUUAUGCAGAGAGAACUGCCAAAACAUACUUGGGCAGAUCAUGUUCUUAAAAAGGGAAAAUGUCUUAUGUAACAGGAUACACUGUCAUGCAAAUAGUGUGAUCCAUGCAUCAGAUGGUCUCUUCCUUAUUGUCAGGGGUGCGUUUAGUCAGCUUUGUGUCACCAUGACCAAAAUACCCGACAAGAACAGCUUAGAGGAGGACUCGUUUAUUGUGGGCUUGUGGUUUCAGAGUUUCAGUCCAUAAUCAGCUGACUCCAGCUGUGGGCCUGAGGUGGGGUAGAAGAUCACUGCAGAAGAGCUCAGCACAGGGAAGUGGCUCAGCUCAGGGCAGCCAGGAAGCAGAGAGAGAAGGAGGCACCAGGACAAAAUAUAAACCCCAAAGGCACGCCCCCAGUGACCUGCUUCCUCUAGUCACACCCUACCUGCCUACAGUUACCACCAAAGUCAGCAGUCCCUUCUAAUUAUUAAUCCACCAAAUGGAUUAAUCCACUGAUAUAGGUUACACUCUCAUUUCACCUCUGAAUAUUCCUGCGUGGCUUAACCCGUGAGCUUUUGGGGAAAACCUCAUAUCCCAACACAAGUGGUGUCACAAAUAAGUCUCUGUGGUUUACUCUAGGGAUUCCUACUUUCAGUGAUUUAAGUGUGAUAGAGAACAUAUGUACUUUUCUUAUAGAGGAAAACAUACUUUUCUUAGAGAAGUUUAAACAAUUUGGUGAAACUUACUGCAUUUUAGAAAUUAGUAAGUUUUAAAAAAUAUUCGUUACUACAUUUCUUCAUUACAACUCCAUGUAGCAGUUAGGCAGUGAUAUCCCCAUUUUACAGACAGGGAAACAGACUUGGAGGGAAUGGUGACUUUUUAGGUUUCAUAGGCUAAUAAUGGUGAUUUCCAUAUAUAUAUAUAUAUAUAUAAUUUCUGUAAAGUACCUAGAGAAGAAUAUCACUUAAUAACUCUUAAGACACUUGCCUAUCUUACUGUUGUCCUCUUAUCUUACUAUUGUCUGUGCUGGGAAAAUGCAAUGCUUUGCCUUGCCCCAGAUGGGCACCAUCCUAGUUAAAUGAGCCAAGAAGAAUAGGAGAGGGAAGAUGAGACUAGCGCCUAAGAGCUCAGUCCCUGGAGCCUCAUGGACAGUGGUCUGGAGCAAUGCCUUGACCUUUUGACCUCAGUUUCCCUAGUAUAAAAUGGGGACAGUAGAAUCUACUCAUAAAGUUGUUGGGAGGGUUAAAUAACAUAUGUAAAGACGACCCAGGACUUCAGAUGAGACAUGGCAUCUUUAAAAUUUGGCUAUCACUAUCAGUCUUGCUCUGAAGUGAAAGAACAAAUACAGCUCUCAACUUUCGUGGACUCUUUUACUUUUGAUACUGAUUGAUCCCGUUUUCCUUUUCCAGGUGCUUCACUACAAUCAUAUUGCAGAAUUCUUGAAAUCAGAGUUCAGGGACUCAGCUGAGGUAUGAUGAUGUCAUUGCUGAGCUGUCAAAUGCACCUUCACAUCAGAGCCCCAGAGAGGCUAGUCCAGGGCUGGAGAGCAGCACUGUCUCCUUGGUCCCUCCUUCACUGUUUCUGAUAACCUCUGCAGCCUAUUUAACACAACGAUAAUGACAGUGAUGACAUUACUGUUAUUAGUAAUAACACUGUUAUUACUAAUGAUGUUAGUAAUAUUAGUCAAAGCCCCCAGAUUUGACGAUUGCCUUCAUUCUCACACGCUUCUGUUCUGUGCUUCUUGUUGAGUCUGCCAGCCUUAUCUAUGCAGGGUUAGAAUUUUUCUGCUACUAAGGAAAUUGAGAAAGGACCCUGAUGCUUUGCCAUGUAACUACAGACUGGGCCUGAGGUUGUCCCACCGACAUGCUUUGGGACAAUGGUCCUUAGUUCUUUCUAAUAGGAGCAUCGGUUUUGACAUCAAAAUUAUAUAGGAGUCCCACAUGAAAGUAGUUAUUUGGUACUGCUUGAGAAUAUACAUAAAUGCAUAUAGAUUCACUGAAAACUUGCUUCAGAUUACCCAACUUAUUAUCAGGAGACCAAAGCCAUGGCUUGGGACUCAUUGCUUCAGGGAAUAUAGGCCUCAACCCUGCAGGUCAGUGAGUUCUUAGCCACCUUUCAAAUCAUCAAAGCUGUAAGCUUAUCAGAAUUCCAUCACUGAGGGACAAAUGAGGGUGUUGGAACUGUCCAGUAAAGGACCAAAGUGUUUCAUUACGAAGCACAUAGAAAAUUGAGACCACAAAAAGAGUGUGGCAGAGAAGAAAAUUGAGUCUAUAAGUUUAAUAUCAGUGACAAAACUUGGAUUAUGUCUCUGAACAUAUCACUAAGAUCUCUUUAUUCAUGGAAACUCCAACUUUUGAAUUAAACCAUUAGAGCCAACUAGUGCAUACAAUUCUCCACACAGUCUGCAAAUAAAGUCACAGUUUGGUGAGAUUGUGGUGCUAAAGGAGACUUAAAAAAAUUUAAAAAAAUUAAAAAACCACUUUAAACCUUGUAUUCCCUGCCCUGUUCAUCAGAGGCAGACACCUUGCGCUCCAGGUACUGUUUUCAUGUUAUUUAUGACACUCCAAUGGCAAGAAAUCAAGCCACUUGACAAAUCACUCUGUUUAUUUCUAUCAGUGCAGUCAAGCGGGAAGGCCGCAUUCCGAGUUUGGACUCCUCCUCUCUCAAAUCAACCAGUCGGGCACUAACUACACCCUCAGCAUUGCCAACCGACUCUAUGGGACAAAGGCAAUGGAAUUCCAUCAGGUGAGCCCAUCUGGCAUCCUCUGAAUUUCAUACAAUGAAAUCUAUAAAGGAUUAUUUUUAAAAAAGGCAUUUGGCAUUUAACUGUAAGAGAUUGAAUUUGAGCUGACCUAGGGUUAUAGAGACAUGAUUUUAUCAAAACUCUCAUUAAAGUUGUGAAACAUCAAAUAAAAAUUCUUUACCACUGAAAAAUCUCUAAAGCUGUCCAAGAACCAAGGUAAGAGAUGAAACAAAACAGUAUGGCUCCAGAAUGCCAGCAUAGAGGGGGUUUUGGAGUGGGGAGUCAGUUAAGGAAAGGCUGGUGUCUAUGCAGAGGCUGUAUUCUUGGACAGUAUGUUACAGGUGAACAAAAUAGUGAAUGCCUUCAGAUAUUGUUCAUGACAUUUUCCGUAAGUUUCUAAAAUGUCAGUUGUCUACUUUAGAUAUUAUUAAUUUUAUAUAGGAUGAUUUGUGAAGAAAUUCAUACACACACACACGCAUGCACACACACAUGCACACACGCACGCACCCUGUGCGAAGCCUUCUGGUAGAUCUCAGAUAAGGAAGUCAUGUGACCACUCUGGUUAUUGAUUUUCUCAUCUAUAAUAUGACAGCAGUCACAUAAUCACUCCUGUUUUUUCACUUUGAAGCAAUAAGUGGAGGGAUGGUGUGAAAUGCAAUGUCAUUUUUGUUUUGAGUGUUUUCGAACCAAGAAAGCUGAUGAUAUGACAGAAGCAACAACAAGACAUUUCUGAACAUUUUUUUGGGGAAAGGUUUUGGAUUUUUUUAAAGUGUAUUUGUUUUAUUAAAAGUAAGUACCAGGACUGGGGUUGUGGCUUAGUGGUAGAGCACUCUCCUAGCAUGUGUGAGGCCCUGGGUUUGAUCCUCAGCACCACAUAAAAAUAUAUAAAUAAAAUAAACAUAUUGUAUCCAACUACAACUUAAAAAAUAAAUAUUAAAAAAAUAACUAAGUACCAGCCAGGUGUAGUGGCACAGGCCUGUACUCUCAGCUAUCUGGAAGCCCGAGGCAGGAGGAUUGAAAGUUUGAGGCCAGCCUGGGCAACUUAGUGAGAUCCUGUUUCAAAACAAACAAACAAAUAAGUAAGUAAAUAAAUAAGGGUCCAGGAUAUAACUUAGUAGAAGAGUGCCCCUGAGUUUCAAUCCCCAGUACUACCCCAAAUAAAUAAAUAAAUAAUAAAAUAAAAAGAAGCACAUAUGGAUUUUGCUUUCUUUCAAACUUGUAUCCGAGAACUGCCUUCAUCUCUGUUGGGACUUUUGAAUGUGUUUAUUUUCUUUGUCCUUUUUUCCUGUCAUUGGGCUAUACUUUCUUUUUUAGCAAUAUUUAAGCUGUUCUGAGAAGCUGUACCAAGCCGGCCUACAGACUGUUGAUUUUGAACAGUCCACAGAAGAAGCGAGAAACACC